rnacentral:ncRNA from 1 species
UAAAGGUUUGGUCCUAGCCUUUUUAUUAGUUGAUAGUAAAAUUAUACAUGCAAGUUUCCGCAUACCCGUGAAAAUGCUCUUUAAAUCUAAUAGAUUAAAAGAUGCUGGUAUCAAGCUCGCAUAUAGCAGCUUAAGACACCUUGCCUAGCCACACCCCUACGGGAUACAGCAGUAAUUUACAUUAAGCCAUAAACGAAAGUUUGACUUAGCUAUACUUACUAGAGUUGGUUAAUUUCGUGCCAGCCACCGCGGUCAUACGAAUAACUCAAAUUAAUAAACACUCGGCGUAAAGCGUGAUAAAAGUACAUAAAUACAAUAAAGUAAAACCCUCUCUAUACCGUAAAAAGUUUAAGAGUGAUAUAAUAUAUUUAACGAAAGUAACUUUAAUAAACUUUAAUCACGAUAGCUGGGACUCAAACUGGGAUUAGAUACCCCACUAUGCCUAGCCCUAAACCUAAAUUAAUCUUAACCAAAUAAUUCGCCAGAGAACUACUAGCAAAAGCUUAAAACUUAAAGGACUUGGCGGUGCUUUACACCCACCUAGAGGAGCCUGUAACAUAAUCGAUAAACCCCGAUAAACCUAACCAUCAUUGGCUAAUUCAGUCUAUAUACCGCCAUCUUCAGCAAACCCUAAAAAGGUUAAAUAGUAAGCCCAAUUAUAUUACAUAAAAACGUUAGGUCAAGGUGUAACCUAUAUGAUGGCAGUUUAUGGGCUACAUUUUCUUACAUAAGAAAACACUACGAAUAUUUCUAUGAAAUAAGAAGUUAAAGGAGGAUUUAGUAGUAAAUCAAGAAUAAAGAGCUUGAUUGAAAUUGGCUAUGAAGCACGCACACACCGCCCGUCACCCUCCUCAAAUCCAAUAAAACUAAUAUACCUAAUAAAUCAAGCUUUAAACAUACGAGAGGAGAUAAGUCGUAACAAGGUAAGCGUACUGGAAAGUGCGCUUGGAAAACCAC